rnacentral:rRNA from 1 species
UACGGAGGGAGCUAGCGUUGUUCGGAAUUACUGGGCGUAAAGCGCACGUAGGCGGCUUUGUAAGUUAGAGGUGAAAGCCCGGGGCUCAACCCCGGAAUUGCCUUUAAGACUGCAUCGCUUGAAUCCGGGAGAGGUGAGUGGAAUUCCGAGUGUAGAGGUGAAAUUCGUAGAUAUUCGGAAGAACACCAGUGGCGAAGGCGGCUCACUGGACCGGUAUUGACGCUGAUGUGCGAAAGCGUGGGGAGCGAACCGG